GGGAGGCGGCGGCUACACAUGCAGUCGAGCGCGAACGGUUCUUCGGAACUUAUUAGAGCGGCGGACGGGUGAGUAAUGCAUAGGAAUCUGCCCAGUAGUGGGGGAUAGCCCGGGGAAACCCGGAUUAAUACCGCAUACGUCCUACGGGAGAAAGCAGGGGAUCUUCGGACCUUGCGCUAUUGGAUGAGCCUAUGUCGGAUUAGCUUGUUGGUGGGGUAAUGGCCCACCAAGGCAACGAUCCGUAGCUGGUCUGAGAGGAUGAUCAGCCACACUGGGACUGAGACACGGCCCAGACUCCUACGGGAGGCAGCAGUGGGGAAUAUUGCACAAUGGGGGAAACCCUGAUGCAGCCAUGCCGCGUGUGUGAAGAAGGCCUUCGGGUUGUAAAGCACUUUCAGUAGGGAGGAAGGCCUGUAAGUUAAUACCUUGCAGGAUUGACGUUACCUACAGAAGAAGCACCGGCUAACUCCGUGCCAGCAGCCGCGGUAAU
rnacentral:rRNA from 1 species